CUGAGAAACGGCUACCACAUCUACGGAAGGCAGCAGGCGCGUAAAUUACCCAAUCCUGAUUCAGGGAGGUAGUGACAAGAAAUAACAACUCGGGGGCCUCACGGCUUACGAGAUUGCAAUGAGAACAAUUUAAAUCUCUUAGCGAGGAACAAUUGGAGGGCAAGUCUGGUGCCAGCAGCCGCGGUAAUUCCAGCUCCAAUAGCGUAUAUUAAAGUUGUUGCAGUUAAAAAGCUCGUAGUUGAAUUUCUGAUUAUGGAUGUAGCGGUUUCCGUUACAUUUGUAGUCAUCCACAUGAGAACCUUUCUCGGCCUUCACUGGUCGGUUGGGGGAUCAUGUACUUUACUUUGAAAAAAUCAGAGUGUUUCAGGCAGGCGUUUGCAUGAAUACACAAGCAUGGAAUAAUGGAAUAGGACUAGGGUCCAUUUUUAUUGGUUAUUGGACCAUAGUAAUGAUUAAUAGGGACAGUU
rnacentral:rRNA from 1 species